CAAUGGGCAACUUACCUCCUUUCAUACGUGCUGUAUAACAGAACCAUUGGACAGAAUGUUUGCAAGCAAGUUGCUAACCAACAUUCUAUAGAACAGAGUGUAUUCAGUGAUGACUCACAGAUAAAUUACUUCACCCUCACGGACCUCAAACUGGGUGUGCCAUUUGCUGUAGAUUGACUCAACGCUUAACCCUUCCAGUCAGACACCAGUCGCCAAGUUAAUCGAUUUCAUUGCCAGACUGAGAAUUCUCCAAGCCUUCUGAAUUUAAUUUAAACUGAUUGCAUACUGAAUGAGUUUGAAGGACUGUAAAGCAAAAGUGCAUCUGCUCCAGAACUGAUCUACCAAAUGUUCAUUGGUUUGUGCUGGUGCGAAGAGCAUUCUGAGUCUAGCGGCCCAGCCCCGGAGGACGUGGUGAUCUACUGUGCGCACAAGGGUAUAAACCAGAGUCGCCGUGCAGCAACGUAAGUGCUACCCAAGGAGGGUUCAAGAUGCUAUCAACCUCUCACAACAAAUGGAAAAUGUAAGACUUAACACAAUCACCCCAAGCCUCUACAUUUUAAUGAGAAUCACGAUCGGAGAAGGAAACACCCUGAAAAAAACCAAGAUUGAAUUACAGUUUACCUAACAGCAGAACAAAUAGUUGGGCAUUCGUCUUUCCUCACCUUUAGAAAACCUAUUUUGGAGUAUUUAUAACGCAGCUCUCUAAACAACAUGGAAAUUGGGAUGGAAAUCAAAACUGUUAGCCCGUUCAAGGCAGACUUUCUAACUGUGAGAUCAUGACCGGAGCCGAAGUCAGACACUUAACCGGCUGAGCCACCCAGGCGCCCCUAUAAGCAUAAUUUAUUACUACCUACUUCUCUUCUGACCCCAUUGGACAAAAUGGCUCAGGGGCUGUUUGAUACUCCAAAUUCACAUCCAGGUUACGGUCAGUCACAAGGAUCUACAAUUAGCUGAAUUGUAAAGGUAUACCACUCUGAGUGUCGCUUGUGAGUGACAGAAAACCCAGCUCAAACAGCAGGGUCGAGCAGAUAUCUGAAUAGCUGAAGUCCAUCUCUGUCUCCCAAGAGUUAAAUCGACAAACAAAAAAUGGAAUUGAGUCCCGCUGAAAGAAUUGAAGAUCUCUGCUGAAACCAGUCACUGUGGACAGGGGGAUUCCACCUCCUCACUGGCCAUUCUGAGACACAUGUCCAAACUCAGAGCUGGGGUUCAAGGCAGCUCAGCAAACCACAUGGGCCAAUGAUGGAACAAGGCAAGCACUGGUUCUGUUACUGGAAGAACGGGGAAAGGAUGUUGGGGAACUGAAAUCAAGAAAUGUCCAUGAUCACAUACAGAAACUCUACUCUUUUACAUCCUCUCCAACACCAAUUUCGUUACUGAUGUCACAAAUAACAUCUUUUUAUAUUUUGUAUCCAUUAACACGGGGGGUAUAGUUUGUAUUUUGGGCUUUUAUCCUUUGAAUCCUACACCAAAAUUAAAAGUGAUUUAUGCACCACCA